rnacentral:rRNA from 1 species
GAUCCUGGCUCAGGAUGAACGCUAGCUACAGGCUUAACACAUGCAAGUCGAGGGGCAGCAUGACCUAGCAAUAGGUUGAUGGCGACCGGCGCACGGGUGAGUAACACGUAUCCAACCUACCGGUUAUUCCGGGAUAGCCUUUCGAAAGAAAGAUUAAUACCGGAUAGUAUAACGAGAAGGCAUCUUCUUGUUAUUAAAGAAUUUCGAUAACCGAUGGGGAUGCGUUCCAUUAGUUUGUUGGCGGGUAACGGUCC